rnacentral:rRNA from 1 species
ACCCUUUCCCAGGUCUUGACCAUCCUUUGAAGCUUUUAGAGAUAGAAGUGUUCUCUUCGGAGACAAAGUGACAGGUGGUGCAUGGUCGUCGUCAGCCCGUGUCGUGAGAUGUUGGGUUAAGUCUCGCAACGAGCGCAACCCUUAUUGUUAGUUGCCAGCAUUCAGAUGGGCACUCUAGCGAGACUGCCGGUGACAAACCGGAGGAAGGCGGGGACGACGUCAGAUCAUCAUGCCCCUUAUGACCUGGGCUACACACGUGCUACAAUGGCGUAUACAACGAGUUACCAACCCGCGAGGGUGAGCUAAUCUCUUAAAGUACGUCUCAGUUCGGAUUGUAGUCUGCAACUCGACUACAUGAAGUCGGAAUCGCUAGUAAUCGCGGAUCAGCACGCCGCGGUGAAUACGUUCCCGGGUCUUGUACACACCCCU